rnacentral:rRNA from 1 species
GACGAACGCUGGCGGCGUGCUUAACACAUGCAAGUCGAACGAAGGGCGAUGGCAGCUUGCUUCUAUCCAUCUUAGUGACGAACGGGUGAGUCACGCGUAAUCAACCUGCCCUUCUGAGGGAGACAACAGUUGGAAACGACUGCUAAUACCGCAUACGCUCUAAUCUCGGCAUCGAGGGUAGAUGAUAGGUGGCCUCUACAUGUAAGCUAUCACUGAAGGAGGGGAUUGCGUCGGUUUAGUUCGUAGGAGGGGUAAGGGCCCACCAAGGCGAUGAUCAGUAGCCGGUCUGAGAUGAUGGACGGCCACAUUGGGAGUGAGACACGGCACAGACGGCUACGGGAGGGAGCAGUGGGGAAACGGCCGCAAUGGACGAGAGUCUGACGGAGCAACGCCGCGUGAGCGAGGACGGCCGUCGGGUUGGAAAGCUCUGUUAAUCGGGACGAAAGGCCUUCUUGCGAAUAGUGAGAAGGAUUGACGGUACUGGAAUAGAAAGCAACGGCUAACUACGUG